AUUGCCCUUGUAUACCGUAGUAACAGAGGGUCUGGAUCCUGGCUCAGAUUGAACGCUGGCGGAUGCACAGAAGGUGUUUGUCCGGCACAUGGACUUCGGUCUGGUGGCGAGGGCGGCAGGUGAAUGGCUGUAUCGAACGCCUAGUAGCGGGAGAAUUCAUGCGGAAAGUGUAGCCAUUUACCGGGCAUACGCCCUUCGGUGAAAGCGGGGACCUUCGGGCCUGCACUAUUGAGCGGCCGAUAUCGAUUGUAGCUGAAGGGUGGGGCAGCACGGCUCACCAGCGACGAUCCGUGUAGCUGGUUUGAGAUACGACCACACUGGGACUGAGACACGGCCCAGACUCCUACGGGAGGCAGCAGUGGGAAUUUUGAUGAAUGGGGAAAUCCCGAUCCAGCCAUCCCUGCGCGAUGAAGGCCUUUAUUGUAAAGACUUGGCAGAAAGAAACGGCACGGAUAAUACCCGGUGCAACUGAUUAUGCACCGCAGAAUAAGUGACCAUAACUACGUGCCAGCAGCCGCGUGGCCAUAGGGUGCAAGCGUUAAUCGGAAUUACUGGCGAAGUGCGGCAGGCGGUUCGAAAAGAAAGAUGAACCAGGAGCUAACUUGAAUGUACGUAAUCUGUUUGUUGGAGUAACAGAGAGGAAUUCCGCGUGUAGCAGUGAAAUGCGUAGAUAUGUGGAGGAACACCGAUGCACGAAGGCAGCCUCCUACAACAUCGACGUUUACGCAUCGAAGUGGAGCAAACAGGAUUAGAUACCCUGGCAGUCCGCUCUAAACGAUGUCAAUCGAGUUUGUUGGGGCCUUUUGGGCCCUGGUAGCGCAGUUACCAGUGAAGUUGACCGCCUGUGAGGCGGUCAAAGAUUAAAACCCGUAUGAAUUGACGGGGACCGCACAAGCGGUGGAUGAGCGUAGAUUAAUUCGAUGCAACGCGAAAACCUUAACACUUUGAUAUGCCCGAAACUCAGAUUUGGGAGCGUCGCAUCCGAACGAUGGGGUGCCAAAGGCUGUCGUCGUCAGCUCGUGUCGAGAUGUUGGGUUAAGUCCCGCAACGAGCGCAACCGCCAUUAGUUGCUACAGCGCACCUGCAUCGAGAUCAUGACAAACCAUGGUGCGUGUGGAAUAUGUCAAGUCCAGCAAGUGGCCUUAUAGGUAGGGCUUCACACGUCGGUACAAUGGUCGGGACAGAGGGUCGCCAACCCGCGAGGGGGAGCCAAUCCGAAACCCGAUCGUAGUCCGGAUCGGUAGCCCAACUGACUGCGUGAAGUCGAAUGCUAGUAAUCGCGGAUCAGCAAUGUGGUGAAUAUGUUCCUGGUCUGUACAUACCGCCUGUCACACCAUGGAGUGGGUUUUACCUUAGAAGUAGUUAGCCUAACCGUAAGAGGGCGAUUACCACGGUAGAUCUGCAGGACUGGGGUGUCAACAUGC
rnacentral:rRNA from 1 species